UAGGUUACAUUGUACUAGCUUUGUGGCUUC
rnacentral:piRNA from 1 species